AGGCUCUGGAGGAGUUCAGCACCUUGAUCGACAGUUCCUCCUCUUUCAGAGCCUACAGAGCAGCUCUGGCUGAAGUGGAGCCUCCCUGCAUACCCUACCUGGGUUUGAUUCUGCAGGACUUGACUUUUGUCCACCUUGGGAAUCCCGACACUUUGAUGACAUCACAGGGUUCAAAGGUUAACUUCUCCAAACGCUGGCAGCAGUUUAACAUCCUGGACACGCUGAGGAGCUACCAGCAAGUGAGCUACUCUCUGCUGCCCGAUGAUGACAUCAUUUCCUUCUUUAACGACUUCAGCGAUCACCUGGCUGAGGAGGCGCUGUGGGAGCUCUCUCUCAAGAUCCGCCCAAAGAACACUCCUCGAGCCAAUCAGAGAUGAGCUUUGGUGAAGGCGCGGAGGGUGACGCAGCUAAUCGGCUGCACCUGUUCUGAUGCUAACAUGCUGUAACACAGAGAACUGAACCGGGGGCGAGGCCGCGAGCGGGACAUUACUGGCACAGACAUGCAGGGUGAAACCUGCCGACAUUUUACUACCGGACCUUUGCAGGCAGAGGUUUCCCUCCCUCGCUCCCGUUAACAGAAACGGUUCCCACAGAACUGCAUCCAAACAUCCAUGAAACAUCACUGCUGACCUGCCAGUCAGCUCACCUGCCCUUACCUGAUGGUGGAAACCUCAGCACCGUGUCUUCUAAUCAUUAAAGCUGAUCCCACCUGACUCUCGGGAAUUCCAGUGGAAAGAUUCCCUGCUUAGUAGGAAUGAUGCAAAAUUUCAGCUCCUCUUAAGGGACGAGGGUCCGAUUGUUUUAGUUUUUCUAGCACCGUUUUCUGAUCUGUAUUUAAACACAGCACGCUCGGUCCUUCAGGUGUCCGAGGGUAACUGUGGGUCUGUGUGUUUCCAGCUCACAGCCACGGAGACGCCGUCGUCCCACAUCAAACACACCUGUACAGGAAACAGGAUCAUGCAGACACACCUGUGAAUAUGUUCUGUCUUUAUUUAUGCUUUUUUACUUUGCGUGUAUGUAACCAGCAGCAGUGCGUCUGCUCACUUUAAAUAACACAAUCUUAUUACAGCGCUGCCGCCAGCUGAUGACGGAUCAUUUUCUCUGAAGGACCAACUGAUCAACGGUGGCUGAACGAACGCCGAUUAAUGAAACGUUCAUCUAUAGAUGUGGUCCAGCUUCAUGGACUGUGGAGACUUUUUGUUUACGUGUAACAGAACAGUUGGCGUGUUAAACAGCUGCAUCAGCUUCUGCUCACCAUCGGCGCCUC